AUCCCAUGAUGAGGACAGACGACCACAUACUCCUGAAGUCGUUCCCAUGCUUCAGGAAUGGACUCAACCCUUGUCAGCUGGAAACUGGAAAUCCUUCCACCAAGGGC
rfam:Oryza barthii chromosome 3, whole genome shotgun sequence.